GCAGCCGCGGUAAUACGUAGGUGGCAAGCGUUGUCCGGAUUUACUGGGUGUAAAGGGCGUGUAGGCGGAGGAUCAAGUCAGAUGUGAAAUCUAGGGGCUCAACCCCUAAACUGCAUUUGAAACUGAUCCCCUUGAGUAUCGGAGAGGCAGGCGGAAUUCCUAGUGUAGCGGUGAAAUGCGUAGAUAUUAGGAGGAACACCAGUGGCGAAGGCGGCCUGCUGGACGACAACUGACGCUGAGGCGCGAAAGCGUGGGGAGCAAACAGGAUUAGAUACCCC
rnacentral:rRNA from 1 species